rnacentral:ncRNA from 1 species
AUAGAAGGUCUAUCAGGGUCGUUGUGUAGGCGAUGGCUCUAAACCACCUAAAGGUGCUGCGGUAAAGAGCUGUGGUAUUGAGCGUUUAGGAGAAUCCUGUCC